ACAAGCAGUGAAUGUGCUUUGGGGUGGGGUGACUGCGUACCUUUUGUAUAAUGGGUCAGCGACUUAUAUUCUGUAGCAAGGUUAACCGUAUAGGGGAGCCGUAGGGAAACCGAGUCUUAACUGGGCGAAUAAGUUGCAGGGUAUAGACCCGAAACCCGGUGAUCUAGCCAUGGGCAGGUUGAAGGUUGGGUAACACUAACUGGAGGACCGAACCGACUAAUGUUGAAAAAUUAGCGGAUGACUUGUGGCUGGGGGUGAAAGGCCAAUCAAACCGGGAGAUAGCUGGUUCUCCCCGAAAGCUAUUUAGGUAGCGCCUCGUGAACUCAUCUUCGGGGGUAGAGCACUGUUUCGACUAGGGGGUCAUCCCGACUUACCAACUCGAUGCAAACUACGAAUACCGAAGAAUGUUAUCACGGGAGACACACGGCGGGUGCUAACGUUCGUCGUGAAGAGGGAAACAACCCAGACCGCCAGCUAAGGUCCCAAAGUCAUAGUUAAGUGGGAAACGAAGUGGGAAGGCUCAGACAGCCAGGAUGUUGGCUUAGAAGCAGCCAUCAUUUAAAGAAAGCGUAAUAGCUCACUGGUCGAGUCGGCCUGCGCGGAAGAUGUAACGGGGCUAAACUAUGCACCGAAGCUGCGGCAGCGA
rnacentral:rRNA from 1 species